rnacentral:rRNA from 1 species
CAGCAGCCACGGUAAUACGUAGGGUGCGAGCGUUAAUCGGAAUUACUGGGCGUAAAGCGUGCGCAGGCGGUUGUGUAAGACAGGUGUGAAAUCCCCGGGCUUAACCUGGGAACUGCGCUUGUGACUGCACAGCUAGAGUAUGGCAGAGGGGGGUGGAAUUCCACGUGUAGCAGUGAAAUGCGUAGAGAUGUGGAGGAACACCGAUGGCGAAGGCAGCCCCCUGGGCCAAUACUGACGCUCAUGCACGAAAGCGUGGGGAGCAAACAGGAUUAGAUACCCCUGUAGUCCCUGUCUCUUAUAC